UCGGACAGCUCCGGCCACGCCCCCAGGGCGAGAGCCCGCAGCCAAUGAGCUCCUAGAGGCCGGCUGGGAGCCGCGCCGGCCAAUCGCAGGGGCCUAGGACGCCUUGAAUCUCCGGGCAAGUUAAGUUUAUCUCCGAGGCUCCGAACUGAAGGGAGAUGGCGGGUUAGUUAGGUAAUGGAGUGGGAGGGAAUACGGUUUGCUCUGCUCCACCAAUAAGAAAAGGAGGGUGUGUCGCAUGCAAAUAUAUGAUGCUUAGCCCCACCCCCAGUGCAAGCCACGCCCCCUCCUCUAGGUCCCUGCUGAAAUGGUGGGGAGAGUGAGGUAAAUAGCUGGGAGCUAUGGCUCACUAGAGUGUAAGACUGAGGUGAACAUUUUCCUCAUCCCUUGAGAAAGAGGGACAGAGGGGCAGGUUAAACAAUCCUUCCGUCGGCCAGUGCUUAAGCUUUCUCUCGGCCACAGUCUAAGUUUAGCUGUAAAGAACACUGCAGUCAUGUAGCAGUUUGCAUACAGGGAUCUCAAAGAACUUUAUGCAUCAUUUAUUGUGAGCCUUGUUUUGCGGAAACACCAGUUCCCUGAGGCUUGGGAAGGGUAGGAGGUGAAAUGUCUGAGGUAUAUUUGUAGAAUUCCUGGGGGGCCGGGGGGGGGGUAGCACAAAACCUCCGGUUUAGCGGUUUCCUCCUCUAUCCGAAGCACCUUCUCUCAGUCCUCUCAGGGAUGAAAGUUGCUUUAAAAUGUACCCAGCACAAAAGGGCCAGAGGGGUUUGUCCUCUCACCCAAAAGUGCUUCCUGAGGCAGCUGCUUGGAAGCACGCAGAGCACGGAGCCCUGCUUGGGAAGGAAGGUUCAGGGAACAGAUUGCCGUUGAAAACUAUUAGGCCAGACCUGCCUCUUCCAAAGCUAAAAAUGAUGAAGAAAGAUGGUCUUCUCUAGAAUUUGAAUUUGCAGGUAUAUACAGGACGAGCAGUAUGCCAUGUCACUGAAAAUGGAAAAUAGAAUAUCCACAGCAAAGGUGACCCCAGAGAGGCCAUACACAUUGUGGGAUCCUGACAAAGGUUCAAAGCAUCAACCUGAAAAAGCCACAACCAUUGAUAGAAGCCACUAAUUUGACCCGAAGUAAUCUGUGGUGUUUUCUGUGCUUCUGAAGGUGUAGAUUUCAACGUCUGCAACGUUACAUUCAUGAGUCUGCUAAAUUUGAAACUGAGCACUGCAAAACAAGUAGAUACCUUUUCUUCUGGUAUGCUGGGGGAAAAACUGAGAUUAAUUCAACCCAAACUGGUACUUAGUCAUGAAGGAGUUUGCUUAAACUGUUUUACUUUUUCUUUUUGUAUUCUUGAUACAAUACGAUGGAUACAGAUUAUUUUCUCACAGUACUUAUCACCUGCUUUGUGAUUGUUUUUUUUUAUGUGGCUGCCUUCUCCAUGAGAUUAUAGGCUCCAUGAGGACAGUUUUCCUUAUCAUGAUAUCCUCAAUACAAUAAUUUUGGGGAAGAAAUGAAUAAAGAAAUUUCCAAUGCUGAAAAGUCUUCUGUUCUAUGUCAUAGAAAUAAUGAAUUCUUGUCAGGCAGUGAAACUAUGAAGAUCCAAGCAGUGUGGAAUGAAGCCAGUUUCAGAGACAACAUUUUGCUGAAAUGGAGAGUGAUCUGUGUGUGCCUAAGUCACACACAGGAAGCAGGAGACCCAAGGAUCACGGCCCCACAACGUCCCCGAAGGGCAAAGAGGCAACUUUGGGAAAAUGAGAGAAGCAUGCAAAGUGCAUGAAAUCAGCUGUUUACAUCGUGAAACAUAAGUCACAGUGCUAUGUGUUUGGAGGCUGCAGUCUCAAAGAUCAAAAGAGAAAAUAAAAGCCUACACCUCCAUGCACGAGUGA